AUGGUUGAGGGUUCUACUCAGGACGUAGCUAACCUGAAGUUCCUCCUCCUGUGCUUCGAGCAGAUGUCGGGCCUAACGAUCAACUUCGACAAGAGUGAAGUGAUGGUUCUUGGGUACCCUCCAGUGGAAGCUCAGGUUAUCGCGGACCGACUUAACUGUCGGUUGGGCUCUUUCCCCGCGACCUACCUGGGGAUUCCCAUUAGUGAUUCGCGCCUCACCGUGGCGGACCUGCGCCCCACGGUGACCCGUAUGCAGCAUCGCGUCGAGCCCUAGAAAGGGCGCUGGCUGUCGCAGGCUGCGCGUGUGAUCCUCAUCAACUCCUCACUCGCCAGCCUUCUUUGGUUCCUCAUGAGCUUCUAUAGCCUUCACGAGACGCUGCACAAGGAAAUUGCCAAAUACCAGUCUAGAUUCUUCUGGGCUGGCGAGGAUGACAAGCAGAAGUACCAUAUGGUGAGCUGGCCGGAUAUCUGCAAACCCAAGGACCAAGGUGUUCUGGGGAUCUUGUCCUCCCGGCGCAUGAACAUUGCCCUCCUGACCCGCUGGUUAUGGCGCAUUGCUAAUGGCGAUGGAGGCCUUUGGCUCACCAUCAUCCGGAACAAGUACCUCUGUGGACAGCCUCUUGCAUUCGGUCAGCACACGGGCGGCUCCCAGUUUUGGCAGGCCGUCAUCCAGCUGCUCCCUGUGCUGCGCACUGGCACUUCCAUCUCGGUUGGUACUGGGUCUGCGACCUUGUUCUAG
rnacentral:rRNA from 1 species